AAAAUCAACCAACACCUAUUAGCGCCAGGGUACUACGAGCUUUAGCUUAAAACCCAAAGGACUUGACGGUGUCCCACCCAACUAGAGGAGCCUGUCCUAUAAUUGAUGAUCCCCGAUAUACCCGACCAUUUCUUGCUUCAGCCUGUAUACCUCCGUCGUAAGCUUACCAUCUAAGUGUAUAACAGUAAGCCCAAGGACUUUAAAGCCAAAACGUCAGGUCAAGGUGCAGCUCAUGAAAUGGAAGAGAUGGGCUACAAUCUCUAACUUAGAGCACACGAAAUACUACAUGAAACAUAGUCAUGAAGGUGGAUUUAGUAGUAAAUGGGGAAUAGAGAGCCCCAUUAAAUUCGGCCCUGGGACGCGUACAAACCGCCCGUCACCCUCUUCAACAGCCCCCUCCCCCGCUCAAUAACACAACUUAGCACUUUAGAAGAGGCAAGUCGUAACAUGGUAAGUGUACUGGAAAGUGUACUUGGAAUAA
rnacentral:rRNA from 1 species